rnacentral:lncRNA from 8 species
AUGUACAGUAUGGGUCUGGCUGGGGAAACACAGCUAUAUGUACAGUAUGGGUCUGGCUGGGGAAACACAGCUAUAUGUACAGUAUGGAUCUGGCUGGGGAAACACAGCUAUAUGUACAGUAUGGGUCUGGCUGGGGAAACACAGCUAUAUGUACAGUAUGGGUCUGGCUGGGGAAACACAGCUAUAUGUACAGUAUGGGUCUGGCUGGGGAAACACAGCUAUAUGUACAGUAUAGCUCUGGCUGGGGAAACACAGCUAUAUGUACAGUAUGGGUCUGGCUGGGGAAACACAGCUAUAUGUACAGUAUGGGUCUGGCUGGGGAAACACAGCUAUAUGUACAGUAUAGCUCUGGCUGGGGAAACAGCUAUAUGUACAGUAUGGGUCUGGCUGGGGAAACACAGCUAUAUGUACAGUAUGGGUCUGGCUGGGGAAACACAGCUAUAUGUACAGUAUGGGUCUGGCUGGGGAAACACAGCUAUAUGUACAGUAUGGGUCUGGCUGGGGAAACACAGCUAUAUGUACAGUAUGGGUCUGGCUGGGGAAACACAGCUAUAUGUACAGUAUGGGUCUAGCUGGGGAAACACAGCUAUAUGUACAGUAUGGGUCUGGCUGGGGAAACACAGCUAUAUGUACAGUAUGGGUCUGGCUGGGGAAACACAGCUAUAUGUACAGUAUGGGUCUGGCUGGGGAAACACAGCUAUAUGUACAGUAUGGGUCUGGCUGGGGAAACACAGCUAUAUGUACAGUAUGGGUCUGGCUGGGGAAACACAGCUAUAUGUACAGUAUGGGUCUGGCUGGGGAAACACAGCUAUAUGUACAGUAUGGGUCUGGCUGGGGAAACACAGCUAUAUGUACAGUAUGGGUCUGGCUGGGGAAACACAGCUAUAUGUACAGUAUGGGUCUGGCUGGGGAAACACAGCUAUAUGUACAGUAUGGGUCUGGCUGGGGAAACACAGCUAUAUGUACAGUAUGGGUCUGGCUGGGGAAACACAGCUAUAUGUACAGUAUGGGUCUGGCUGGGGAAACACAGCUAUAUGUACAGUAUGGGUCUGGCUGGGGAAACACAGCUAUAUGUACAGUAUGGAUCUGGCUGGGGAAACACAGCUAUAUGUACAGUAUGGGUCUGGCUGGGGAAACACAGAUGGCCCCAGGGAGGAUAGGCAACUCUUACCAAUUAAACACUACUGA